UACGUAGGGUGCAAGCGUUGUCCGGAAUUACUGGGCGUAAAGCGUACGUAGGCGGCGGGUUAAGUCGAAUGUUAAAGCCUGGGGCUCAACCCCAGAGAUGCACUCGAUACUGGCCUGCUAGAGGGCGAUAGAGGAAAGCGGAAUUCCCAGUGUAGCGGUGAAAUGCGUAGAUAUUGGGAGGAACAUCAGUAGCGAAGGCGGCUUUCUGGGUCGCACCUGACGCUGAGGUACGAAAGCGUGGGGAGCAAACGGG
rnacentral:rRNA from 1 species